GUGGCGAACGGGUGAGUAAUACGUGAGUAACCUGCCCUUGACUCUGGGAUAAGCCUGGGAAACUGGGUCUAAUACUGGAUACUACAUAUCUUCGCAUGGGGGUGUGUGGAAAGGGUUUUACUGGUUUUGGAUGGGCUCACGGCCUAUCAGCUUGUUGGUGGGGUAAUGGCCUACCAAGGCGACGACGGGUAGCCGGCCUGAGAGGGUGACCGGCCACACUGGGACUGAGACACGGCCCAGACUCCUACGGGAGGCAGCAGUGGGGAAUAUUGCACAAUGGGCGAAAGCCUGAUGCAGCGACGCCGCGUGAGGGAUGACGGCCUUCGGGUUGUAAACCUCUUUCAGCACGGAAGAAGCGAAAGUGACGGUACGUGCAGAAGAAGCGCCGGCUAACUACGUGCCAGCAGCCGCGGUAAUACGUAGGGCGCAAGCGUUGUCCGGAAUUAUUGGGCGUAAAGAGCUCGUAGGCGGUUUGUCGCGUCUGCUGUGAAAGCCCGGGGCUUAACCCCGUGGUGUGCAGUGGGUACGGGCAGACUAGAGUGCAGUAGGGGAGACUGGAAUUCCUGGUGUAGCGGUGAAAUGCGCAGAUAUCAGGAGGAACACCGAUGGCGAAGGCAGGUCUCUGGGCUGUUACUGACGCUGAGGAGCGAAAGCAUGGGGAGCGAACAGGAUUAGAUACCCUGGUAGUCCAUGCCGUAAACGUUGGGCACUAGGUGUGGGG
rnacentral:rRNA from 1 species